CGUCUAAGCAGUAAGGCUGAGUAUUAGGCAAAUCCGGUACUCGUUAAGGCUGAGCUGUGAUGGGGAGAAGACAUUGUGUCUUCGAGUCGUUGAUUUCACACUGCCGAGAAAAGCCUCUAGAUAGAAAAUAGGUGCCCGUACCGCAAACCGACACAGGUAGUCAAGAUGAGAAUUCUAAGGUGAGCGAGCGAACUCUCGUUAAGGAACUCGGCAAAAUGACCCCGUAACUUCGGGAGAAGGGGUGCUCUUUAGGGUUAACGCCCAGAAGAGCCGCAGUGAAUAGGCCCAAGCGACUGUUUAUCAAAAACACAGGUCUCUGCUAAACCGUAAGGUGAUGUAUAGGGGCUGACGCCUGCCCGGUGCUGGAAGGUUAAGAGGAGUGGUUAGCUUCUGCGAAGCUACGAAUCGAAGCCCCAGUAAACGGCGGCCGUAACUAUAACGGUCCUAAGGUAGCGAAAUUCCUUGUCGGGUAAGUUCCGACCCGCACGAAAGGCGUAACGAUUUGGGCACUGUCUCAACGAGAGACUCGGUGAAAUCAUAGUACCUGUGAAGAUGCAGGUUACCCGCGACAGGACGGAAAGACCCCGUGGAGCUUUACUGUAGCCUGAUAUUGAAAUUCGGCACAGCUUGUACAGGAUAGGUAGGAGCCUUUGAAACGUGAGCGCUAGCUUACGUGGAGGCGCUGGUGGGAUACUACCCUAGCUGUGUUGGCUUUCUAACCCGCACCACUUAUCGUGGUGGGAGACAGUGUCAGGCGGGCAGUUUGACUGGGGCGGUCGCCUCCUAAAAGGUAACGGAGGCGCUCAAAGGUUCCCUCAGAAUGGUUGGAAAUCAUUCAUAGAGUGUAAAGGCAUAAGGGAGCUUGACUGCGAGACCUACAAGUCGAGCAGGGUCGAAAGACGGACUUAGUGAUCCGGUGGUUCCGCAUGGAAGGGCCAUCGCUCAACGGAUAAAAGCUACCCCGGGGAUAACAGGCUUAUCUCCCCCAAGAGUUCACAUCGACGGGGAGGUUUGGCACCUCGAUGUCGGCUCAUCGCAUCCUGGGGCUGUAGUCGGUCCCAAGGGUUGGGCUGUUCGCCCAUUAAAGCGGUACGCGAGCUGGGUUCAGAACGUCGUGAGACAGUUCGGUCCCUAUCCGUCGUGGGCGUAGGAAAUUUGAGAGGAGCUGUCCUUAGUACGAGAGGACCGGGAUGGACAUACCUCUGGUGUACCAGUUGUCGUGCCAACGGCAUAGCUGGGUAGCUAUGUGUGGACGGGAUAAGUGCUGAAAGCAUCUAAGCAUGAAGCCCCCCUCAAGAUGAGAUUUCCCAACUUCGGUUAUAAGAUCCCUCAAAGAUGAUGAGGUUAAUAGGUUCGAGGUGGAAGCAUGGUGACAUGUGGAGCUGACGAAUACUAAUCGAUCGAAGACUUAAUCAA
rnacentral:rRNA from 1 species